rnacentral:pre_miRNA from 1 species
AGCUUCUUUACAGUGCUGCCUUGUUGCAUUUAUGUCAAGCAGCAUUGUACAGGGCUAUGA